rnacentral:rRNA from 1 species
UACGUAGGCAGCGAGCGUUGUUCGGAGUUACUGGGCGUAAAGCGUGCGUAGGCGGUGUCUUACGUUUGUUGUGAAAUCUCCCGGCUUAACCGGGAGGGUGCGGCGAAUACUGAGAUGCUGGAGUGCCGGAGAGGUAAGCGGAAUUCCUGGUGUAGCGGUGAAAUGCGUAGAUAUCAGGAGGAACACCUGCGGUGUAGACGGCUUACUGGACGGUAACUGACGCUGAGGCACGAAAGCGUGGGUAGCAAACAGG